CCCAAAGUCAUGAGGCAGGCAGGGUGGCGUCACGGGACAUUUAAAUUGUGACAUAGAACCAAUGAGGGUGCUGCUGCAGGUAGAGGGAUGUCACCAGUCACGCAGGAAGAUGUAAGGAUGUCACCUGGUCAGGCUGGCAAUGCCACCAGAUAAUCAGAGGUGAUAUCUCUGGUGAAGGUACAUGGUGAUAGCCCAGACAAGGGGAGGUCAUGGGGCUGGUGAUGUCACAUUCGUCUAGAUUACCCAACAGCAAAGUAGGGCUCACAAAAAAUGAGGAACAGUUACUAAAGUCUGCUUAUUUCAGGGGUGCUGGGGGCUCAGUCAGUUGACCGUCUGACUUCGGCUCAGGUCCUGAUCUCGCCUUGGCGAGGCUCAAACUCACAAACCAGAGAUCAAGAGUCGCAGGCUCUACUGACCAAGCCAGCCAGGAUUAUUGGGAAGAUGAAUGAGACCCUAUUCUGAAAGCGCGCAGCACGUAGAGAGAACUGGGGCCGCACCCCCGCUAUCUGUAUGGUCUUGUCUCUCUGGGCCAUUGUCCCUCAGACUGCCUCUGCAAGGAAGCACAGACUGGUGCCAUGGAAAGCCCGCAAGGAGAGGUCCCAUGGAAAGGCCUGGCGUAGGCAUUGUAGCCAAUAGCCCAGUCGUCUCGGCAAACACGUGAGUGAACCCCUAACCCGAAGUUGCCAUGCCACCCACUUUAUGUUUUCCCAGCUGCCCUGUGUGCUCUGCUCCAACUGUUUUUAACUUUUUUUAAUAGUUCAUUUGUUUUUGAGAGAGAGAGAGAGGGAGCGACUGAGCGCAAGUGGGGGAGGGGCAGAGAGAGAGGGGGGGACAAAGGAACCAAAGCAGGCUCUGUGCUGGCAGCAUAGAGCCUGCUACGGGGCUCAGACUCACGAAUCAUGUCAUCACGACCUGAGCUGGAGUCAGGUGUUUGCCUGACUGAGCCCCCCAGGCCCCCCUCUGUUCCAAUUCUUGAUUCACAGGACAGUUGUUUACUGUGACAUCUUGAGAUCAUUUGCUACGGUAGUAGGAACUGGGAUAGCUGGAUGGACCAAGCCCUGGACCCUGGGAGAGGGGCCCUUUCCUCCCACCCACCUCUUCCUCGAUGUCCUCAUUCCCUAUUUUCUUCAGCUUUCUUAAUUUUUUGAAGUUUAUUUAUUUAUUUUGAAAGAGUGAGAGAGAGCUCGCGGGCGUGCACGAGAGAGGGACAGAGAGAGAGAGAGAAAGAGAAAAUCCUGAGCAGGCUCUGUAUCAGCACAGAGCCCGAUGCAGGCCUUGAUCUCAUGUGAGAUCAAGGUCUGAGCCGAAACCAAGAGUCAGAUGCUUAACUGACUGAGCCCCCCAGGCGCCCCUCCAACCCUUACAGAGGCUCAGUGGUUUUGAGCCCCGGCUUUCCAUCUGAUGAGGUGCUUCUUGGAGCCAUCAGAGGUCAGCUGUCUGUCUUUUGUACCCAGGCCCAAGUGGGCCAAGCCCCAGGUGGCUGAUGGUCCAGCGGGCAUCGCCGGGGCCCGCUGGUGGUCGUGCGGAGUUGGGGGGGGGAGGGGCAAAGCAAGAUAGUCAGUGUGGGAGUUUGUGGGGAAAGACAGAGGUAUCUUCUAGGCCAGACCUGGGACUCCAGCCUUGUGGGCAGGAGGUCUCACAUGGGCCACUGUGAGCAUUCCACAUGACAGUAUGCAGCCAAUGUCCCUUGAGGGCCUGUGAAGUGCUGUCUACCGGUAAACAGCCCCCAUCCCCCUCCACCACAAAUUUUGACAUGGGGUUAACAACUGUAUUUACACCCUGCCCCUCACAUUCCUCGGGCGCAUGGAUUCCAGAACA